rnacentral:rRNA from 1 species
UACGAAGGGGGCUAGCGUUGCUCGGAAUUACUGGGCGUAAAGCGCACGUAGGCGGAUUGUUAAGUCGGGGGUGAAAUCCUGGAGCUCAACUCCAGAACUGCCUUUGAUACUGAAGAUCUUGAGUUCGGGAGAGGUGAGUGGAACUGCGAGUGUAGAGGUGAAAUUCGUAGAUAUUCGCAAGAACACCAGUGGCGAAGGCGGCUCACUGGCCCGAUACUGACGCUGAGGUGCGAAAGCGUGGGGAGCAAACAGG